rnacentral:misc_RNA from 1 species
GAAAUGCGAUAAGUAAUGUAAAUUGCAGAAUUCAGUGAAUCAUCGAAUCUUUGAACGCACAUUGCGCCCGCCAGCACUCUGGCGGGCAUGCCUGUUCGAGCGUCAUUUCAACCCUCAGAACCCCUUGCGGGAUCUGGCGUUGGGGAUUGGCAUCCAGCCAGCCCCGAAAUCUAGUGGCGGUCCCUCCGCGACCUCCCCUGUGCAGUAGCGAUACCUCGCAGCGGGACAGCGGUCUGACCACGCCGUAAAACCCCCAACUUCUCAAGGUUGACCUCGAAUCAGGUAUGAAUACCCGCUGAACUUAAGC